rnacentral:rRNA from 1 species
GGUCAGCGGCGGACGGGUGAGUAACACGUGGGCAACCUGCCCGCAAGACCGGGAUAACUCCGGGAAACCGGAGCUAAUACCGGAUAACACCGAAGACCGCAUGGUCUUUGGUUGAAAGGCGGCCUUUGGCUGUCACUUGCGGAUGGGCCCGCGGCGCAUUAGCUAGUUGGUGAGGUAACGGCUCACCAAGGCGACGAUGCGUAGCCGGCCUGAGAGGGUGACCGGCCACACUGGGACUGAGACACGGCCCAGACUCCUACGGGAGGCAGCAGUAGGGAAUCUUCCGCAAUGGGCGAAAGCCUGACGGAGCGACGCCGCGUGAGCGAAGAAGGCCUUCGGGUCGUAAAGCUCUGUUGUGAGGGACGAAGGAGCGCCGUUCGAAGAGGGCGGCGCGGUGACGGUACCUCACGAGGAAGCCCCGGCUAACUACGUGCCAGCAGCCGCGGUAAUACGUAGGGGGCGAGCGUUGUCCGGAAUUAUUGGGCGUAAAGCGCGCGCAGGCGGUCCCUUAAGUCUGAUGUGAAAGCCCACGGCUCAACCGUGGAGGGUCAUUGGAAACUGGGGGACUUGAGUGCAGGAGAGGAGAGCGGAAUUCCACGUGUAGCGGUGAAAUGCGUAGAGAUGUGGAGGAACACCAGUGGCGAAGGCGGCUCUCUGGCCUGCAACUGACGCUGAGGCGCGAAAGCGUGGGGAGCAAACAGGAUUAGAGUACCUGGUAGUCCACGCCGUAAACGAUGAGUGCUAAGUGUUAGAGGGGUCACACCCUUUAGUGCUGCAGCUAA